UUUCCGUAGGUCGCUAGAGUUCAGCCUACCAAAGCAAACCUUUCAAAACUGCUAGUCUCUCCCCGAGGCGACACGCUCAAUGUUGCGGAGAGGCCCUCUUUUCAGAGGGUAAUCCGCAGCCGGUCCCCUAAAGGCUGGUUCAGAGACUCAAUGAGUGUGGGUUUGGCCUUUUGGCCAGGCUUAAGAUAGAGCCCGUCCCUGUAGGCAACUGCGGGGGAUGAACGGAACCUGCGGAAGGAUCAUUAAAGAAUCGGUGACCCUCGCGGUCCCAUUCUCACCCUUUGUAUACCAAACUUCAGUUGCUUUGGCUGGCCUUCGCGGGCCGGCCAGAGGACUCAAACCCUUGAAUCUUUGCUGUCUGAGUACUAUAUAAUAGUUAAAACUUUCAACAACGGAUCUCUUGGUUCUG
rnacentral:misc_RNA from 1 species